rnacentral:rRNA from 1 species
UUCCGGUUGAUCCUGCCGGAGGCUACCGCUAUUGGAGUUCGAUUAAGCCAUGCGAGUCGCGAGUCUUAGGGACUCGGCGUACCGCUCAGUAACACGUGGGUAACCUGCCCUAUGCUGGGGGAUAACCUCGGGAAACUGAGAAUAAUACCCCAUAGUUCACCACGCCUGGAACGGUGGGUGGAUCAAAGCCCCGGCGGCAUAGGAUGGGCCUGCGGCGUAUCAGGUUGUAGGGGGUGUAAUGUACCCUCUAGCCCUCUACGCGUACGGGUGUUGAGAGACAUCGCCCGGAGAUGGAUUCUGAGACACGAAUCCAGACCCUACGGGGUGCAGCAGGCGCGAAAACUUGGCAAUGCGAGAAAUCGUGACCAGGGAACUCCAAGUGCAUCGGGUAAGACCGAUGCUUUUCUUGACUCUUCAAAGGUCUUGGAAUAAGGGGUGGGUAAGGACGGUGCCAGCCGCCGCGGUAAUACCGGCGCCCCAAGUGGUAGUCGCUUUUAUUGGGCCUAAAACGUCCGUAGCCGGUCUGGUACAUUCGUGGGUAAAUCAACCAGCUCAACUGGUUGAAUUCUGCGAGCACGGCCAGACUUGGGACCGGGAGAGGUGUGGGGUACUCUCAGGGUAGGGGUAAAAUCCUGUCAUCCUGAGAGGACCACCUGUUGCGAAGGCGCCACACUAGAACGGAUCCGACGGUCAGGGACGAAGCCUAGGGGCACGAACCGGAUUAGAUACCCGGGUAGUCCUAGGUGUAAACGCUGUGGACUUGAUGUUGGGGGCGCUCCGAGCGCACUCAGUGUCGAAGCGAAGGUGAUAAGUCCACUGCCUGGGGAGUACGGUCGCAAGGCUGAAACUUAAAGGAAUUGGCGGGGGAGCACCGCAACCUGAGGAUUGUGCGGUUUAAUUGGAUUCAACGCCGG